rnacentral:rRNA from 1 species
AUUGAACGCUGGCGGCAGGCCUAACACAUGCAAGUCGAGCGGAUGAAGGGAGCUUGCUCCUGGAUUCAGCGGCGGACGGGUGAGUAAUGCCUAGGAAUCUGCCUGGUAGUGGGGGAUAACGUCCGGAAACGGGCGCUAAUACCGCAUACGUCCUGAGGGAGAAAGUGGGGGUUCUUCGGACCUCACGCUAUCAGAUGAGCCUAGGUCGGAUUAGCUAGUUGGUGGGGUAAAGGCCUACCAAGGCGACGAUCCGUAACUGGUCUGAGAGGAUGAUCAGUCACACUGGAACUGAGACACGGUCCAGACUCCUACGGGAGGCAGCAGUGGGGAAUAUUGGACAAUGGGCGAAAGCCUGAUCCAGCCAUGCCGCGUGUGUGAAGAUGGUCUUCGGAUUGUAAAGCACUUUAAGUUGGGAGGAAGGGCAGUAAGUUAAUACCUUGCUGUUUUGACGUUACCAACAGAAUAAGCACCGGCUAACUUCGUG